ensembl:misc_RNA
AUGUCCUAAACGGAAGGAUCCCUUUGGGAACUUCUCAGGAGGGGGACCUGGGCCGAGGGCUUGACCAGCAUCCUGCUGGCAACUCCAAGGCCCUGGGUGGGCUUC